rnacentral:rRNA from 1 species
UGCGACGGGGGACCCCUGGUGCCACUCUUAACGGGGUGGCUUUUCAUAAGUGUAAAAAGCUUCUGGAAUAAGGGCUGGGCAAGACCGGUGCCAGCCGCCGCGGUAACACCGGCAGCUCAAGUGGUAGCCGCUUUUAUUGGGCCUAAAGCGUCCGUAGCCGGUCUGAUAAGUCUCUGGUGAAAUCCCACAGCUUAACUGAGGGAAUUGCUGGAGAUACUACCAUGACUCCAGGGCGGGAUAGGCUGGAGGUACACCUGGGGUAUGGGUGAUCUCCUGAAAGA